GCUGGAAGUGGUGGCGCACACCUGUAAUCACAGGGACUCAGAAGGCUGAGGCAGGAGGAUCACAAAUUUGAGGUCUUUCUCAGCAAUGAAGUGAGACCUUAAGCAACUUAGUGAGACCCUGUCUCAA
rnacentral:sRNA from 1 species